GACGAACGCUGGCGGCGUGCUUAACACAUGCAAGUCGAACGGAAAGGCCCUGCUUUUGUGGGGCGCUCGAGUGGCGAACGGGUGAGUAACACGUGAGUAACCUGCCCUUGACUUUGGGAUAACUUCAGGAAACUGGGGCUAAUACCGGAUAGGAGCUCCUGCUGCAUGGUGGGGGUUGGAAAGUUUCGGCGGUUGGGGAUGGACUCGCGGCUUAUCAGCUUGUUGGUGGGGUAGUGGCUUACCAAGGCUUUGACGGGUAGCCGGCCUGAGAGGGUGACCGGCCACAUGGGGACUGAGAUACGGCCCAGACUCCUACGGGAGGCAGCAGUGGGGAAUAUUGCACAAUGGGCGGAAGCCUGAUGCAGCAACGCCGCGUGCGGGAUGACGGCCUUCGGGUUGUAAACCGCUUUCGCCUGUGACGAAGCGUGAGUGACGGUAAUGGGUAAAGAAGCACCGGCUAACUACGUG
rnacentral:rRNA from 1 species